ACGGGAAGAUAUCAUAGCGUUUAUAAAUUUAAAACGCUAUAAAAAAGUUAGAGGUAAGUCAACGAUUGCAUAAAUAUAUAAAACGCUAUUUUUCAAUGCUAUUAAAGAUCAAUAUUCUUGUAGUGAAUUUAUGACGUUUUACAAAAUAAAAUAAGUAACAUGUUUUUUAGCGAUGUUGUAUAAAUAAACAAUUUUCAUUUUUCAGCUUUCUUUUGUCGAAAUUAAUCGGUAUUAGUAUUGAGAGAUAUCAACACUUUAGGUUAAAUUGAUCAAUUUGAAACUGUCUGUUUCAGGGGGAUUUCUGAUCAUUUAAAAAGUUUGAAGCAGAAACUGUAAAUAGAGAGAAACCACAGACUAAAGUGCAAAAAAAAAAAAGGUGCAACUCGUUUUCAUAAUUCCGAUUUCUGAGGGCUUGUUUUUGACAAUUCGAAUCUUCAUCUCUUAACCCUAGCCCCUCGUAUAUAUAUGCGUUUUAAAGCCCCAACAAAUUAGAAGCCGAAUCUCUUGUCAAUUUAGGGUUUUUGGUUGAUUGUGUUUCUCCGUAAUAGAGCUUUAAUUCGGGUUCUUUUUAAGCCUUGGUAUAAGAGGAAGAAUUAGGACUCAAGAUAUACCUUGUUAGAAUGCUCUCGUUCAUAUGGAUCCAACGCCACUGACAUCUCCUCAAACGAAAGUCGGAUUGAUCGGAAUUUGAUUGGUAUUUCGAUUUUGUUGAUUCAUAGUCAAAUCGGGAUUUCGUUUCACCGGUUCUUAACAUUUUAAAAUCGAAAUCUGAAUUGCUUGAGUUUUGAAUUUUAACCGAUCGUAAUUCGGACCGGUACAGCUGCUUUUACACCGGUUUUAGAAAAUCUGAUACCUGAUUAAGAUUGCUCUUGAAAUUAUCUUUCCGAUGGUAUAGUGUACAGAUUUUUCUGAUAGACGGUUGAAUUUAGGUGAAUUAAUUGGUAGUUUGGGGCGUGUCUAGAAUUGCUGUUAACCACUCGUUAGAUUUUCAGGUGAGUUCUAACUCCCUUAUUAGUUAUUAUACAUUUGUGUAAUAUUUAGGAAUAUGUUAGAAAGAAGAAAUGAUUUUUUUUUGUACUUUUGAAUUCUGAAAAUUAACUAUCUGCGUUAAUGUUAUUAUUUUGAAUAUGAUUUUGAUGAUGAAAUAUAUUAUUCUAUUAAGAGUGGUAUCAGCAUGCUAUGCUGAUUUAGCUAGCUCUAUUGAGCAAUCUGUGGCGGCCGGCAUCGCCGACAGAUGUAUUCUGUAUUUAGUUAGUUUAGUGAUAUUGAGGUCGGUUAGUGUCGUUGACUGUACUUCCUUAUUACCUCGUUAGGGGCCAGCAUCCCUAUCGAGUAUAUUAUGUAUAUAUUUUGUUAGUAUAUGGUUUGGGUCGACCAAUGCUGGAGUUUUACCAUUCCGAAGUUGCAUUGCUAGAUAUAUGGUCGUUCUGUUCUGAUGUUAUUAUUCUGUUUGAUGAUGUUAUUCUGUUUUGAUUAUCCGAUUAUGUAUUUCUGAUAAUAUAUGUUCGGUUGUGAUAUAUAUCCGAGAGUUGUUCCUCAAGAGGCAAGACCUGUUGCUCUGGGUGGUCGAGGUGUCCCUAUUGUUCCAGGAACUCCUCCACAUGUUCCUAAUGGUCCUCAAUUUCCACCACCUCCUCCACCGAAUGUUGCUCCGAUGGAGGAUAUGCGACAAAUGCUUCAGUCUAUGAGUCUGAUGUCUGCUCAUAAUUCGGCCAUCCAACAGACUUUGUUGCAACAGCUACCUUAGGCAGCUGUUCUACAGCCGGCUCAACAAGGAAACCCUCAACCUGACUAUUGGGUGUUGCAGGAUAGGUUCAAGAAGGAAGUGGGCUUACAGAAGUUUGAAGGUUCUUCUGACCCUAUGGAAGCAGAGAAAUGGCUUGAUCUUGUUAAAGAGGCGUUGGGGUAUUUGGGAAUUCCUGAGGCUUUUAAGUUACGAUUGGUUACUCAUCAGCUUGAUGGAAAUGCUCAACAUUGGUGGAGAAGCAUUGUUACUUCCCGUCCAGGUGUGGAGUUGACUUGGGAUGAUUUUCAAAGGGCAUUUAUGGAUCUGUACUUCCCAGAGUCUGUCAGAUCAAACUUGAGAAGGAGGAGCAUGUAGCUGACGCUUAGAGUUUUUGUUUCAGUUGUAGCGCGAGACUUGGUAGUUCUUUCAGUAUUUUAAAACACUUUUAUUUCUCAAAUUUGGAUUUUAUGUAUUUUGUGACUCUUAGAAGUGUUCUUUAUUAUUUUAUUAAAGUUCAUAAUUUAUUUAAGAA